CACGUAGUUAGCCGUGGCUUUCUGAUUAGGUACCGUCAAGACGUGCACAGUUACUUACACGUUUGUUCUUCCCUAAUAACAGAGUUUUACGAUCCGAAGACCUUCAUCACUCACGCGGCGUUGCUCCGUCAGGCUUUCGCCCAUUGCGGAAGAUUCCCUACUGCUGCCUCCCGUAGGAGUCUGGACCGUGUCUCAGUUCCAGUGUGGCCGAUCACCCUCUCAGGUCGGCUACGUAUCGUUGCCUUGGUAAGCCGUUACCUUACCAACUAGCUAAUACGGCGCAGGUCCAUCUAUAAGUGAUAGCAAAGCCAUCUUUCACUAUCGAACCAUGCGGUUCGAAAUAUUAUCCGGUAUUAGCUCCGGUUUCCCGAAGUUAUCCCAGUCUUAUAGGUAGGUUACCUACGUGUUACUCACCCGUCCGCCGCUAACGUCAAAGGAGCAAGCUCCUCGUCUGUUCGCUCGACUUGCAUGUAUUAGGCACGCCGCCAGCGUUCAUCCUGAGCCAGGAUCAAACU
rnacentral:rRNA from 1 species